rnacentral:ncRNA from 1 species
CAAGGUCUUGGUCCCGAACCUUAUAUUAUCUGUGACCCUGAUUAUACAUGCAAGACUCAACGAAACAGUGAAAUAGCCCACCACACCGCACAGGAGCAGGCAUCAGGCCAAAAUAAAUUACCAAUGACGCCAAGCAAAAGCCACACCCCCACGGGCAAGCAGCAGUAGUUAACAUUGGGCCAUGAGUGCAAACUCGACCCAGCAAGAGUCAACAGAGCCGGUAAACCUCGUGCCAGCGACCGCGGUUACACGAUGGGCUCAAGAUAAUAAAAACGGCGUAAAACACGACUAGACAAAUACAAAGACAUUAAGGACGAAACAAAGCCAAGCCGUAAAACGCCCCAGCCAAAAUAAGAACAAAUCCUUAAUACAGCCCGACUCGUGAAAAUUAGGAAACAAACUAGGAUUAGAUACCCUACUAUGCCUAAAAGUAACAAAGCAACAAACCAACACAAGUUGCUCGCCAAACCACUACGAGUGAAAACUUAAAACUUAAAAGACUUGACGGUACUUCACCCAACCUAGAGGAGCCUGUCUAAUAACCGAUAACCCACGAUCAACCCAACCGCCACUAGCCACUCAGCCUAUAUACCGCCGUCGCCAGCCCACCUUGUGAAAGAAACCAAGUGGGCACAAUAGUCCCACACUAACACGACAGGUCGAGGUGUAGCUUAUGGGGCGGACAAAGAUGGGCUACAUUAUCUAAACCAGAUAAAACGGAAAAAGCCGUGAAAACCAAGCCUUAUGAAGGAGGAUUUAGCAGUAAGAUGAGGACAUAAUACUCAACUGAAAACAAAGAAAUGAAGUGCGCACACACCGCCCGUCAUCCCUGUCACAAUAAAAGAAAUAUAAAUAACUACACAACAUAAAUCAAAAACAGGGCAAGUCGUAACAUGGUAAGCGUACUGGAAAGUGUGCUUAGAAA